AUGUCGGGGUGCCUGUGGCCGUGCGUGUCCAGCGCCAAUGCCAUGACGGGGGGGAUGGGCGGGGGGUUGUUCGGGCCCAAGGCCAGGAGCCCGGCGGAGCUGGUGCGACACACGCGCGACCUCCUCCGUUUCAUCGCCGACCAUCCGGAACCCUGCAGCGGCAAACUAGAAGCCAAGCGCGAACAAAAGAUUACAGAUCUAAGCAUAAGUGUUAGGGCAAUGAAAUCCAUUCUCUAUGGAGAUGGCGACGGUGAUCCUGUUGCCGAAGCAUGUACGCAAUUGACAAGGGAGUUUUUCAAGGAUAAUACUUUACGUCUAGUAAUUGUUUGCGUUCCACAUAUGGACCUGGAAACUCAAAAGGAAGUAACUCUAGUUUUUGCAAAUCUGGCAAGACAAAAGGUAGAUUCAAGGAUCCCUGCCUCUGACUACUUGGAAGUUAACCAAGAUCUUUUGGAUAUAUUAAUGGCUGGGUUUAAUAACAGGGACAUUGCGAUACAUUAUAGUACAAUAUUGAGGGAUUGCGUACGCCACCAAGUUGCUGCACGGUAUGUAUUAUAUUCUCAGCAUAUGAAGAAAUUCUUUGAUUAUAUCCAGUUUCCUGACUUCAGUCCAUCAUCAGAAGCCUUCAAGACAUUUAAGGAACUCCUGACAAGGCAUAAAUCAUCAGCAGCUGAAUUCUUCACGAAGAACUAUGAUUGGUUCUUUUCAGAUUUUCACACGAAAUUGCUACAUUCUUCCAACUAUGUCACCAAAAGGCAGUCUAUUCAGCUAUUGGGAGAUAUUCUAUUGGAGAGAACAAAUUCAUCAGUGAUGCUGCGUUACGUCAGCUCAAAGGAAAACCUCAUAGUUCUAAUGAACCUUUUAAGGGAUCCAAGCCAACCUAUACAAGUGGAGGCAUUUCAUAUUUUCAAGCUGUUCACUGCAAAUAAAAAUAAGCCUCGUGACAUCAUCAGCAUACUGGUGGCAAACAAGAGCAAAAUCAUCAGGUUCCUCAACGCCUUCACUCUGGAAAAAGGGGUUUCUCUGGCGCUGAUCGAUGCAGAGGAUAGGGUGUUCGAGUCGGACAAGGCCCAAGUACUCGUCGACAUCACGGCCUUGAAGCUGUAG
rnacentral:rRNA from 1 species